rnacentral:rRNA from 1 species
GCGGUUGGGUGUGCUGGUAUGAUUCUUCCCUCCUUCUAAACCGCCCCACCUGCUGUUCACUCAUCUGGGUGCUGUGCGAUAUAGAUCAUUUUACUUUGAAAAAAUUAGAGUGUUCAAAGCGCGCUUACCCCAUGAAUACUUUAGCACGGAAUAAUAAAAUAGGACUUCGGUUCUAUUUUGUUGGUGUCUGGAACUGAAAUAAUGAGUGAUAGGGAUAGUUGGGGGUGCUAGUAUUCCGCGGCCAGAGGUGAAAUUUUUGGAUUCGCUGAAGACUAAAUACUGUGAAAGCAUUCUCCAAGGAUGUGUUCUUUAAUCAAGAACGAAAGUUGGGGGAUAGAAGACGACCAGAGACCGUGGUAGUCUCAACCAUAAACUAUACCGAGUAAGGAUCAGUGGACGUCGUAUUUCGACUCCACAGGCACUUUAUGAGAAAUCAAAGUCUUUGGGUUCCGGGGGGAGUAUGGUGGCAAGGGUGAAAAUUAAAGGAAUUGACGGAAGGGCACCCCCAGGAGUGGAGCCCGCGGGUUAAUUUGACUCAACACGGGAAAACUCUCCAGGUCCAGACAUAGUGAGGAUUGACAGAUUGAAGAUCUUUCUUGAUUCUAUGGGUGGUGGUGCAUGGCCGUUCUUAGUUGGUGGAGUGAUUUGUUGGGUUAAUUCCGUUAACGAACGAGACCUCGACCUCCUAAAUAGUAAGCAGAAACCUCUGGCUUCGCGCUCACUCACUAGAGGGACGAUCGG